AGGUGGGCCCCCUGCCAGGAUCCUGGAGCCCAUGGCGCUGGGUGGCAAGUGAGGCUGUGUCUGCGUCAGGGUCGCUUGGGGCUUGUUCCAGGGCCACGGGAUUGAAGUUGGGGUUGGGGGGGUAUCAUAGAGUCCGGCUGGAAAGACAUUCUGCGAGACUUUCAGGCUGCUCUGCGCUCUCCCCCACAACCCCCUCCCCUGUAUUCUCACCUACGCAUCCCCGAGGCUGGCAGAGGGUGACCUUAUUUAGAAAUGACAUAUUUUCACGUGAGGUCACACUAGGGUUGGGGGGUCUGGAGGGGAGCUUAAUCCAACACGACUGUUUUUUUCCAGAGGAUGAAAACACCCUGUGAAGAAGCACACCCCCAGGAGAGGCUACGUGCCAGCCAGGACCGAGCGGUGAGCGCUGGGGCAGCGAGCCAAGGACCGCCAGUACCACCGUGCUGGACCAGGCCGCGCGCAUGCGCCCAGGGCCCAGGGCGGAGCGGCCCCGCCCACCAGCGCCUCGGCUUCAGGAAAGAAGCUGGGCUUGCUGGGUCACCCAGUUCUUUGUUAAAACAGCAACUCUAAGAAAUGGGUGCAGGUUUGAAAUGUUAGAUUUCUCCACUGGCUGACAAGCGAGCCUGCCAAUUCUUUGUUUUGUCUUAUUUUUGACCUUGCGGGUGAUGAUAUAAUUUGAACUCCAUGUAUUGAUGGGGCGCUGUGAGUCUUAUCUUUUAGAUUCCAGUUUACUGAUGAAGACAGAGUUAGAAUCCCUUGCAUGAGAUGGAGGAGAUUUUGUUAUCAGCGCCACAGUUUCCAGCUUGUCAUUACCUCUGAUUCCUCUCUGGGAUUUCAAAGCCCUUCCUAAAUCCAGCUCCUUGGAGCACUUAAAAUAAAGAUGCUUUAAUAAUAAUACAACUUGCAAUAUUUCAAUCAAGUCAUAAUUGAUAAAGAAAUCUACAUUGUUUUCACCUGUCCAACAUCUACUUGUUGUAGGGACGUUUGAACUCCCUUCUUAGGAGUGAUGGUGGGUGGGAUCAAAUAGAAGACAGCGUUGCUUUUUUAUGUUAACAUUUGACAGUGUGAGAAAUGGACUUUGUCAAAUUAAGGACUGCCUUACCAAUGCAUCAGAAGCAUGCAUCUCAAACAAGUUUUAGUUCCUUCUGAUGACACAGCAUUAAAUUGAACCGUAACCCCGCUUCAUCAUUACGAAGAAGGGCAGAACAGUGAGAGGCCCUUCUGUCCCGGACGGCCUCUGUGCAGACAGCCCUCGGAUGGCAUUUCUUUUGGGGCUUUUGUUACUGUGAAGGAAGCCUUUUUACUUCUGUCGCAUGAUUUGACACUGAAAAUUAUUGAAAAGAACAAAACCAAAGCC
ensembl:lncRNA